UAAUAAGAAGCGAUCUUUUGCAAUCAAUUUCGACUUGAAUCUAGUUUAAUAACCUUAUUUU
rnacentral:tRNA from 1 species